rnacentral:rRNA from 1 species
UACGGGGGGGGGGCAAGCGUUGUUCGGAAUUACUGGGCGUAAAGGGCUCGUAGGUGGCCAACUAAGUCGGACGUGAAAUCCCUCGGCUUAACCGGGGAACUGCGUCCGAUACUGGUUGGCUUGAGUUUGGGAGAGGGAUGCGGAAUUCCAGGUGUAGCGGUGAAAUGCGUAGAUAUCUGGAGGAAUACCGGUGGCGAAGGCGCAUCCUGGACCGGCAUUGACGCUGAGGAGCGAAAGCCAGGGGAGCAAAAGGG